UUUAAGUAUAAUUAUGAGUUUUUUUUGUUCAACGUUUGACCAUCCGUCUUAUUUGAUUUUUUUAUUAUUAGUAUUUUUUAUUGUUUGUGUGACUUAUUUUUUUUUAAUUUUUUCGUAAGUUUUCCAAAUAAGACGAAAGGUUAAACGUUGAACACAGAAACCCUCACAACUAUACUUAAA
rnacentral:pre_miRNA from 1 species